rnacentral:misc_RNA from 1 species
UUAACUAUUUUGUCUUUUCUUCAGAAGGCAGGAUAGAAGAGUUUUGGUCUUUCGGCAGGCAUGAUACAGCCCGCCCUGGGCCCGCCUGCCGAAGCAACGUGUACAAGAUUCACAAGGGUUUGGAGUUCUGUAACUCGGUAAUGAUCCCUCCGCUGGUUCACCAACGGAGA